UACACUCCUACGGGAGGCAGCAGUGGGGAAUUUUGGACAAUGGGCGAAAGCCUGAUCCAGCAAUGCCGCGUGAGUGAAGAAGGCCUUCGGGUUGUAAAGCUCUUUUGUCAGGGAAGAAACGGUGAAAGCUAAUAUCUUUUGCUAAUGACGGUACCUGAAGAAUAAGCACCGGCUAACUACGUGCCAGCAGCCGCGGUAAUACGUAGGGUGCAAGCGUUAAUCGGAAUUACUGGGCGUAAAGCGUGCGCAGGCGGUUUUGUAAGUCUGAUGUGAAAUCCCCGGGCUCAACCUGGGAAUUGCAUUGGAGACUGCAAGGCUAGAAUCUGGCAGAGGGGGGUAGAAUUCCACGUGUAGCAGUGAAAUGCGUAGAUAUGUGGAGGAACACCGAUGGCGAAGGCAGCCCCCUGGGUCAAGAUUGACGCUCAUGCACGAAAGCGUGGGGAGCAAACAGGAUUAGAUACCCGUGUAGUCC
rnacentral:rRNA from 1 species